UACGUAGGGUGCGAGCGUUGUCCGGAAUCAUUGGGCGUAAAGCGCGUGUAGGCGGUCCGAUAAGUCUGCUGUGAAAGCCAGGGGCUCAACCCUUGGAUGCCGGUGGAUACUGUCGGGCUUGAGUACGGAAGAGGCGAGUGGAAUUCCUGGUGUAGCGGUGAAAUGCGCAGAUAUCAGGAGGAACACCAAUUGCGAAGGCAGCUCGCUGGAACGGUACUGACGCUGAGGCGCGAAAGCGUGGGGAGCGAACAGG
rnacentral:rRNA from 1 species